CUAACACAUAUAUUCUUUGGGGAAAGCUACAGCAGACAAUUGUUUACCAUCCUUAUUAUUUUGGGUAUCUUUCAUUUCAGUCCUUUUCAAGCUUUCUAGACAAGCCUUUUGUUAUCUUAUGUUCCAAGUAAAGAAUCAAGAUCACCCUCCCCUAGGCUUUUCGUUUGUUUUGUAAAUCUUUUGAGCUGGAAAAAACCAAGCCGCGUUCUCAAUCAGUUUCAGAUACUUUCUUUUAUCAAUGGGCUCUAGCAUACUUUUACAGAAUAGGCACAUAAGUAGCUAGUAAGAUCAAACAGAAGGCUAAAAGGUGUCAAUACCUUUUGAAAUAAAGCCUAAGAGCUAUCUUUAAGAAGUUCCUGCCCAAUUUCAAACACCUAAAUAUCAACUUGAUGAGUUCAUAACCCAAAAUUGAUGAGACUCGCAUUUGAACAGGGUUUGGAUUAGCUUUCUAGACUUACAAACAUGGAAUAUUUAAUAACUGACCCCAGAAAAAGCAACCUUUUGCAGGAAUCAAUUGGUGACAACUUAGAGUGGAAGCCUACUCAUCAAAUUUCUCUAACUAUUGAUUUAGAGGAUGGUGCAUGAAUGUUUAUAUAUAUACAAGUGCAUUUACAUCCUAGUUUAAGCAUCUUUGCCACAGGGAAUAUAACAGUUGCUUAAAGGAACAGACAGGACUAGGUUCAAGAUUUGUCUGUUUCUUCUCCAAAAUGCCCAAAUCAGAGAAGCAAGAGAACCAGCCUCCUCCAGGAUACCCAACUGACACCCCAACCGCUAAGAAGAAGUGCUGCCCUAAUACAAAGAAGAAAGGAGACAGAGGCUUCAUUGAGGGAUGCCUCUUCGCUCUAUGCUGCUGCUGGCUGUGUGAAGCCUGCUUCUGAAUUCUGACUUGUAAUACCAAAUAGCAUAAUUUCUGCAACAGAUUGCCUUUGUUUUGUUUUUCUCUAUUGAUGAGAUAUAAUAAAAUGUAACCUUUGAUUGUACUUCUCUCUUUUUAUCUACAUACACUGAGUUUUCGUU